rnacentral:rRNA from 1 species
UUUUUAUAUAAUUAAUUUUUUUUUUUGUAUUAAUUAUAUUUUUAAUUUAAGUUAAAUUAAUUUUAUUUAUUUUUAGUAUUUGUUAUGGAAAAAUUUUAAUUUUGAUAGAUUAUUAGUACUGUUAGGGGAAUUAUUUUUAAUUAAUUAAGUAUAAUAUUUUAGUACCUUUUGUAUCAGGGUAAAUCAAUUUAUUAAUAUUUAUUUAUUAAUCUCGAAUUAAUUAGAUCUAAUUUAGUAUGUUAUUUAUAGUUAUAAAUAUAUUAAUUAUUUUAAAUUAGUUGUGAUAUGCUAUUCGUUAAUUAAUAUAUCUAGUUUUUUAAUAAUUGAAUUUAAUUCAGCUAUAUUUUUUUUUAUUUAUAUAUUAAUUUUAUAUAUUAUUUAUUUAUAGUAAAAUUUUAGGGGGUUAGCUCUAAUUUUUUUUUUAUAAUUUUAUUUAACUAAAAUAAUAUAUAGGUUUUAUAAUGACCAUUAUUCCUUAGUAUUUUAUAAUUUAUUAUUUUAAUUAUUUGAUUUAUUUAUAUUUAAUUAUUUAUUAAAAUGUUUCGACUAAUUUUUAAUUGAUUGAAAUAAUGAUUUAAUUAGUAUAUUUAUUAUUAUUAUGUAUUUAUAUUUUUAAUUAUUAAUAAGGAAUUAGGCAAAGAUUUAUUUAUUCGCCUGUUUAUCAAAAACAUCUUUUCUUGUAUUAAUUUGAAAUCUAACCUGCCCAAUGAUGAAUUAAAUGGCCGCGGUAAUUUGACCGUGCAAAGGUAGCAUAAUCAUUAGUCUAUUAAUUGUAGGCUUGUAUGAAUGGUUGGACGAAAUAUUGACUGUCUCAUUUUUAUUUUUAGAAUUUAAAUUUUAAGUUAAAAUGCUUAAAUUUUAUUAUUGGACGAGAAGACCCUAUAGAUCUUUAUUUUUUUUUUUAUUAUUAUUGUUUUGUUUAUAUUUUUUAUAAUUUAUAAAAUAUUUUGUUGGGGGACAUAAGGAUCUAUAAUUAACUCCUUAUAAUUUUAAACAUUUAUUUUUGAAUAAUUGACCCUUUAUUAUUGUAACAAGAUUUAGAUACCUUAGGGAUAACAGCGUAAUUCUUUUUGAGAGUUCAUAUCGACAGGGGAGAUUGCGACCUCGAUGUUGGAUUAAGAUUAUAAUUAGGUGUAGGUGCUUAAUGGUUAGGUCUGUUCGACCUUUAAAAUCUUACAUGAUCUGAGUUCAAACCGGCGUGAGCCAGGUUGGUUUCUAUCCAUAAUAUUUUAUAUUAUGUUAGUACGAAAGGACCAUAUAAUUUAAAUAAUUUAUUUAUUUGAUUAAUUUU